GUUAGCAGUGGAGGUGAGGGUGUCUCAUCUGGAAAUCUCUGCACAGGGAAGGACCUUACAGGCCUGUCAAAGUUCUGCAGUCUGAGAGGUUAAGACAAGGAGUGAACGUACAAGAGAGAGAGAAUGAAAACUAGAGCUGUCCGUCUAUUAAAAGGGUAGCCAAAUGGAUGUUUGUCCUGAGCUGGUAAACAGAAGAGUUGCACCUGCUUGAGAUUCAAAACCAGGAGCUGGAGGGCUGGAUAAGCUCCUGAUCUUGUUGAUUUUUCUGAAGGCUCUGAAAAGUCCUUAUGUGUACCAGACAAUGAGUGUCAGUAAUGUUUUUAGCCUCAAUUAACUGGUGCUGAUACUACAAAAAGGCAAAUAAAAGGAAGCCUCUGCCUCUAACUGACAACAAGCUGUCAGCCAGAAGCAACUCUGGCAAGAGAUCAGUGCUAUCUAUCAGCAGCUCCUAGCACCGUGGUAAAGCAGGAGCCCCACAUGCGUGCAGGAUGCCAGUGACAGCACUUGUGCUUCCUUCUUUUCCUGUCCUACCACAGAGCCUGUGUGCAUACCAUACUUGAGCAUCGUGAGGGCAACUUACUUCAGAGUAGGAAAGAUGAAAUUAUCAGAGGCCAUGGGUAGAGCUACAGAGCUGUUUUGCAGAUAUAAAGUAAGAUGUAAUUCAACUGUCAGCUCACACAUUGUGGAAAAAAUAAUUUUUUUUUUUUUUUAAUGACGGGAUUGUUGUCUGAUCUUUGCACUCAGACAGAAAA